GAUGAACGCUGGCGGCGUGCCUAAUACAUGCAAGUCGAGCGAACAGACGAGGAGCUUGUUCUUCUGACGUUAGCGGCGGACGGGUGAGUAACACGUGGAUAACCUACCUAUAAGACUGGGAUAACUUCGGGAAACCGGAGCUAAUACCGGAUAAUAUAUUGAACCGCAUGGUUCAAUAGUGAAAGACGGUUUUGCUGUCACUUAUAGAUGGAUCCGCGCCGCAUUAGCUAGUUGGUAAGGUAACGGCUUACCAAGGCAACGAUGCGUAGCCGACCUGAGAGGGUGAUCGGCCACACUGGAACUGAGACACGGUCCAGACUCCUACGGGAGGCAGCAGUAGGGAAUCUUCCGCAAUGGGCGAAAGCCUGACGGAGCAACGCCGCGUGAGUGAUGAAGGUCUUCGGAUCGUAAAACUCUGUUAUUAGGGAAGAACAAAUGUGUAAGUAACUAUGCACGUCUUGACGGUACCUAAUCAGAAAGCCACGGCUAACUACGUG
rnacentral:rRNA from 1 species